AGCGGCGAACGGGUGAGUAAUGUAUCGGAACGUACCCAGUCGUGGGGGAUAACUAUCCGAAAGGAUAGCUAAUACCGCAUACGUCCUGAGGGAGAAAGCGGGGGACUCGCAAGGGCCUCGCGCGAUUGGAGCGGCCGAUAUCGGAUUAGCUAGUUGGUGGGGUAAAGGCUCACCAAGGCGACGAUCCGUAGCUGGUCUGAGAGGACGACCAGCCACACUGGAACUGAGACACGGUCCAGACUCCUACGGGAGGCAGCAGUGGGGAAUUUUGGACAAUGGGGGCAACCCUGAUCCAGCCAUUCCGCGUGAGUGAAGAAGGCCUUCGGGUUGUAAAGCUCUUUCAGCAGGAACGAAACGGUGGUCCUUAAUACGGGCUACUAAUGACGGUACCUGAAGAAGAAGCACCGGCUAACUACGUGCCAGCAGCCGCGGUAAUACGUAGGGUGCGAGCGUUAAUCGGAAUUACUGGGCGUAAAGCGUGCGCAGGCGGUUAUGUAAGACAGGUGUGAAAUCCCCGGGCUUAACCUGGGAACUGCGCUUGUGACUGCAUAACUGGAGUGUGGCAGAGGGGGGUGGAAUUCCACGUGUAGCAGUGAAAUGCGUAGAGAU
rnacentral:rRNA from 1 species